rnacentral:rRNA from 1 species
UGAUCUGAAAUCAGGUAGGAUUACCCGCUGAACUUAAGCAUAUCAAUAAGCGGAGGAAAAGAAACUAACAAGGAUUCCCCUAGUAACGGCGAGUGAAGCGGGAAAAGCUCAAAUUUUAAAUCGAAUAGGGUACCUUAUUCGAGUUGUAUUUUCAAGAGACGUUUUCGGAUCGCGCCUGGGUAUAAGUCCUUUGGAACAGGGCAUCAUAGAGGGUGAGAAUCCCGUUUAUGACCCGGAGCGGCUGUCUAUGUGAUACGUUUUCAAAGAGUCAGGUUGUUUGGGAAUGCAGCCUAAAAUGGGUGGUAAAUUUCAUCUAAAGCUAAAUAUUGGCGAGAGACCGAUAGCGAACAAGUACCGUGAGGGAAAGAUGAAAAGAACUUUGAAAAGAGAGUUAAACAGUACGUGAAAUUGUUGAAAGGGAAACGUUUGAAAUCAGUCAUGUAAACGAGUAAUCAGCUUGGCUUUUGCCUUGUGCACUUUCUCGUUCGCAGGUCAGCGUCAGUUUUGAUACUAGUCGGAUAAAAAAUCAAGGGAAUGUGGCUCUCUUUUACGAGGGAGUGUUAUAGCCCUGGUUAUAAUACGAUGGUUAAGACUGAGGUCUGCAGCCAAUACCCUUCAUGGGCUGGAUAUUUCUUUUGCUCAUGGGUAACCGAGUUUAGACAGCUUGCUGACUAGGUUUGAAUUGCCUGUGACUCGAUUGA